AUGGGAUACAUGGUAUCAGUGACGCUGUCUAUAAAUCCCACUAUGUAACCAACAAACAAAAAUCAGAAAUUACCACCAGAAAUGCAUGCGGAGUGUAUAUUCCGCCCUUCCAUCGUGGCUCUACUAUACUUCCAUCCCUUCGAUUCGACACCGAGUCGAUUAAAUAUAGUUUCUGGAGCAACCAUCGCCGAACAUGAAGCAGGUUUCUUGUUGAUGUCCUCCUCAGUUGUGAUCAUCUCCUGGACGAUUUCGGGACUGGUGGUGGGCGGAUUAUUAGCCAGCGCUUUC